rnacentral:lncRNA from 1 species
UUUAAGUUGGUCCAAAUCAGGAUUCCAUAUCAAGUAUUGUGCAAUAGCAAGAAAUUUUCAAUUGCACAGUAUUGCACAAUAGCAAGAAAUAUCUAAUUGCACAAUAUUGUGCAAUAGCAAUUAAUUUUCAAUCGGAGUUAUCUUUCUUUGUAUAGAAUAGUAGUUGAUAAUAUAUGUUGGAAAUUUGCCAGACAUGACUAUGAUGUCAUUUUCUAUUUUUAUUUGCCAAUAAC